CCUACGGGCGGCUGCAGUGGGGAAUAUUGGACAAUGGGGGCAACCCUGAUCCAGCCAUGCCGCGUGUGUGAAGAAGGCCCUCGGGUUGUAAAGCACUUUCAGUGAGGAAGAACGCCUGGUGGUUAAUACCCAUCAGGAAAGACAUCACUCACAGAAGAAGCACCGGCUAACUCUGUGCCAGCAGCCGCGGUAAUACGGAGGGUGCGAGCGUUAAUCGGAAUUACUGGGCGUAAAGCGCGCGUAGGUGGCUUGAUAAGCCGGUUGUGAAAGCCCCGGGCUCAACCUGGGAACGGCAUCCGGAACUGUCAAGCUAGAGUGCAGGAGAGGAAGGUAGAAUUCCCGGUGUAGCGGUGAAAUGCGUAGAGAUCGGGAGGAAUACCAGUGGCGAAGGCGGCCUUCUGGACUGACACUGACACUGAGGUGCGAAAGCGUGGGUAGCAAACAGGAUUAGAUACCCUAGUAGUC
rnacentral:rRNA from 1 species